GAUGAACGCUGGCUACAGGCUUAACACAUGCAAGUCGAGGGGAAACGGCAUUGAGUGCUUGCACUGAAUGGACGUCGACCGGCGCACGGGUGAGUAACGCGUAUCCAACCUUCCCGUUACUGCGGGAUAACCUGCCGAAAGGCAGACUAAUACCGCAUGUUCUUCGAUGACGGCAUCAGAUUCGAAGCAAAGAUCCGUCGGUAACGGAGGGGGAUGCGUCUGAUUAGCUAGUUGGCGGGGCGACGGCCCACCAAGGCGACGAUCAGUAGGGGUUCUGAGAGGAAGGUCCCCCACAUUGGAACUGAGACACGGGCCAAACUCCUACGGGAGGCAGCAGUGAGGAAUAUUGGUCAAUGGGCGGAAGCCUGAACCAGCCAAGUAGCGUGCAGGAUGACGGCCCUACGGGUUGUAAACUGCUUUUAUGCGGGGAUAAAGUGAGGGACGCGUCCCUUUUUGCAGGUACCGCAUGAAUAAGGACCGGCUAAUUCCGUG
rnacentral:rRNA from 1 species